rnacentral:rRNA from 1 species
AGCAGCCGCGGUAAUUCCAGCUCCAAUAGCGUAUAUUAAAGUUGUUGCAGUUAAAAAGCUCGUAGUUGAAUUUCGGGACUAAUAUGUCGGUCGUACUUUGUACGUACUAGCAUUAUUGGUUUCUCCCUUCUGACGAACCACGAUGUCAUUAAUUUGGUGUCGUGGGAAAUCAGGACUGUUACUUUGAAAAAAUUAGAGUGUUUAAAGCAAGCUCGCGCUUGAAUACAUUAGCAUGGAAUAAUGAAAUAGGACGUUUGAUUCUAUUUUGUUGGUUUCUAGGAUCGACGUAAUGAUUAAUAGGGAUAGUUGGGGGCAUUAGUAUUCAAUUGUCAGAGGUGAAAUUCUUGGAUUUAUUGAAGACUAACUACUGCGAAAGCAUUUGCCAAGGAUGUUUCAUUAAUCAAGAACGAAAGUUAGGGGAUCGAAGACGAUCAGAUACCGUCGUAGUCUUAACCAUAAACUAUGCCGACUAGG